AACCCACAAAAAAAAAAAAAAAAUUUAUUUGUUCGUUCUUCUAACUGUCCCUCUUUCUUUCGUAUACUACCUCUUUCUUUUCCUUCCUACCACCCCCCCACCCCCACCACCCACCUGAUUUUCCCCUCAGCUAUUUUUCUGCAUUUGGUUCCAUUUGUUAAAUCCUGUCUCCUCUCUCUCUCUCUCUCCUCUCUAAAUAUUAUCUUUCCCUCUCUAAAUCGCCGGCGAUCUUCUUCUGCUUCCACCUCCGCACGUCUUCCGGAUCAAAUCUUCACUUCCCUACUUUCUCGCCAGGUUCUGUUUCUGCUUAUCACUUAUCCACACCCCCCCCGCCCUCCCUACUUACUCUCUUCUACUUUCUUCUGCUACUAGUAUACAAAACUUACCACUGUUUCUUGUGGUUGUUGUUGUUCAUCUACACUGUAACUAUUUCCUAUAAUAACCCAAAAAUAACUAUAAUACAUAGACGAUCUGGUUCUUAAGUUGCGGAAACUUAGAUACUUUAAUAAAAGAGUCGGAGGAGGAUUCUGGGUUUUUGGGGAGAUGUAGUUGGUGUUGGUAAUUAAGUUUCGAGGAGGAUGCAUUUUGGGCUUUGUGGGGUUUACCCUUUCUCGGGUUUUCUGGAUUUUUAGUGACAUUAAUUGGCGGGUGACAUCAAAAAAAAAAUAAUAAAAAAUAAAUA
rnacentral:lncRNA from 1 species